rnacentral:rRNA from 1 species
CGUUACCCCCCUGUGACCUUUAGAGUGCUCUUGCUAGCUAUACGGAACAGCAAUCCUGGUAAAUCAGUGGCGAAAGUUCGUUUUUGAUUCAGGACUUCUGUCCAGGACCUGCAAUUGAGCCUAAGCAGUGGUCUGGAUUCCUGGCCGGGCGGAUGAAAGUGUCGCUGGACGGUUUCUAGGGUAAGGUUAUCCAUCGCUGGAAGGUCCAUCACGGGCCGGCGGACAGACUGCAGGGCGCAAGCCCCCCUACCUGACGACCAAGUUAAAUCGGCCUUUAUCACAUAGCAAGUGCGCCGUGAUAAAGGAAAACGUACAACUGUUAACAAUGAAUAUCUUGGUUCUCGCAACGAUGAAGAACGCAGCGAAAUGCGAUACGUAAUGCGAAUUGCAGAAUUCAGUGAAUCAUCGAAUCUUUGAACGCAAAUUGCGCUCUCGGGUUACCCCCAAGAGCACACCUCUCUGAGUGUCGGUUUAACCAAAUGUCACCAAUUUAUUGGUAACGAAAGCCUGAGGGUAAGGGGUCUCGGCCUCUUUCCCUUCAAAUCUCAGCCUCACUACUGUGUGUGUUAGUGGCAAGUUGCUUUCACUUAAUUGUGAAUCCAAUCCACCGACCCGCGGUUGGGAAGCCAAAAGAAACAAAUGUUACAAAGGUGUGUAUCCAAGAAGCUUGCUUCAAGGGUUCGCGGCUCUGUACAUCUAUGAAUUAGACCUCAGAUGAAGUGGGAAGACCCCCUGAAUUUAAGCAUAUUAUUAAGGGGAGGAAAAGAAACUAACAAGGAUUCCCCUAGUAACGGCGAGUGAAGCGGGAAGAGCUCAAAUUUAAAAUCCGCAAGUCUAACAGCUUGUGGAGUUGUAAUCUAGAGAGGCUCUCUCAGUGCCAGCCUGGUUAUAAGUCCCUUGAAACGGGGCAUCAAAGAGGGUGAGAAUCCCGUAUUUGAGCCGGAGCUAAGUACGUACGAGGAGUUUUCUAAGAGUCGCGUUGCUUGGGAGUGCAGCGCUAAAUGGGUGGUAAAGUUCAUCUAAAGCUAAAUACUGGCGAGAGACCGAUAGCGAACAAGUACGGUGAGGGAAAGAUGAAAUGAACUUUGAAAAGAGAGUUAAAAAGUACUUGAAAUUGUUAACAGGGAAGGGGAGUCAACCAGUCAAUUUUGGCUUCAUUCGCUUCUCUUUCGGGAGGAGUUACUUGAGGCCGAAUGGGGUCAGCAUCACUUGAGUGUCUUGCAGAAACUGUGUGAGUUGGUGCGUUUCUUCGGAUUCGUUUAAUUCAUGCGAUCUACAUUGUGCUUGGGUGAGGAUACCACAACCCCCCGCUUUCGGGCGUCGAUUCUCUGAGGUCUGUUUGCCCUAGCGCGUGAGAGAACAAAGUUCUGUCUGUGCGAAAGGUGAAUACUGCUUUGGAUGAGUCAGAUG